AUUAAUGCUGUACACAUUUUAUUUGCAGCUAUGCUUUUCUGAAAUAUCAUUAUUUAUAUCGGACAGAUAAUCAAACAUGUAAAUUGCAAUGGAUUUAUUUUGGGCAUUCUUUUUAUAGUAUAACAAAAGGGUCUUUUACUACUACCUUGUUAAGUUCAAGGAUGAUAGUGGUCAUCAACCUUGACAUUUAAGCUUGUAUAGCGUAAUGGCACAGCGUUUAUAGCUCUCAAAUGGAAAGGAGAUAAUUGUCUUGUGGGAGAGAAACGAAGCUAUGGUUAUUAAGUCGCUAUAUACUGUUUUACGUUUUAUGUACGAAAUCUUACGAUGUUAAAUACACCCCAACACUAAAUUAAGUAAUCAGAAUUUAAAUUAGCUUUAAUAUAUCUCUCUUUAUACGAAACCAUAACAAAAUGACCUUUAUAAUACUAACGAGUCUGUUUACACACAAGACUUACACUACAAGUAUUGAAAAGUAGCAAACAAAUUGCAUAAUACUCCCCUGACCCAAUUUUAAGUUGUUUUUUUUAAAACGAAAUAUAAACCAUAAACCUUUCUUUUAAAUGUAUGAAUUUGUCUUAUUUUUACUGAUUAAAAGUGGAAUAAUCAAUGUUAAUGUUUUCACGAUUAACCUGCGAA
rnacentral:lncRNA from 1 species